rnacentral:rRNA from 1 species
AUCCUACGGGAGGCUGCAGUGGGGAAUAUUGCACAAUGGGGGGAACCCUGAUGCAGCAACGCCGCGUGAGUGAAGAAGUAUUUCGGUAUGUAAAGCUCUAUCAGCAGGGAAGAUAAUGACGGUACCUGACUAAGAAGCUCCGGCUAAAUACGUGCCAGCAGCCGCGGUAAUACGUAUGGAGCAAGCGUUAUCCGGAUUUACUGGGUGUAAAGGGUGCGUAGGUGGCAGUGCAAGUCAGAUGUGAAAGGCCGGGGCUCAACCCCGGAGCUGCAUUUGAAACUGCGCGGCUAGAGUACAGGAGAGGCAGGCGGAAUUCCUAGUGUAGCGGUGAAAUGCGUAGAUAUUAGGAGGAACACCAGUGGCGAAGGCGGCCUGCUGGACUGUUACUGACACUGAGGCACGAAAGCGUGGGGAGCAAACAGGAUUAGAUACCCCGGUAGUC